AGGGCAAUUGGUGGAUGCCUUGGCAUACACAGGCGAUGAAGGACGUGGCACGCUGCGAUAAGCUGCGGUGAGGUGUGAGCAACCUUUGACCCGCAGAUUUCCGAAUGGGGAAACCCAUCCUCACUAUUAAAUCUCGCUGUGAGAAUCAGCAUCGGGGUUUAAUAGGAAGGAUAUCACUUUGCUGAAUAAAAUAGGCUUAGUGAAGCGAACCCGGGGAACUGAAACAUCUCAGUACCCGGAGGAAAAGACAUCAACCGAGAUUCCGUGAGUAGUGGCGAGCGAAAGCGGACCAGGCCAGUGCCUGGUGUUUAGUUAGCAGAAGCGAUUGGAAAGUCGCGCCAGAGCGGGUGACAGCCCCGUAUGCGAAAACAAGACAUCAGGACUCGAGUAGGGCGGGACACGUGUAAUCCUGUCUGAACAUGGGGGGACCACCCUCCAAGCCUAAAUACUCGUGUAUGACCGAUAGUGAACUAGUACCGUGAGGGAAAGGUGAAAAGCACCCCGAUGAGGGGAGUGAAACAGUACCUGAAACCGGUUGCCUACAAGCAGUGGGAGCAUCCUUGAGAUGUGACCGCGUACCUCUUGCAUAAUGGGUCAGUGACUUAAUGUAUCAAGCAAGCUUAAGCCGUUAGGUGUAGGCGCAGCGAAAGCGAGUCUGAAUAGGGCGAUUGAGUUUGAUGCAUUAGACCCGAAACCCGGCGAUCUAGGCAUGACCAGGCUGAAGGUGCGGUAACACGCACUGGAGGGCCGAACCGAUUACCGUUGAAAAGGUACCGGAUGAGUUGUGUUUAGGGGUGAAAGGCCAAUCAAGCCGGGAAAUAGCUGGUUCUCCGCGAAAACUAUUGAGGUAGUGCCUCGGAUGUUUUCCUGUGGGGGUAGAGCACUGGAUGGGCUAGGGGGCCGCGAGGUCUACCAAACCUAACCAAACUCCGAAUACCACAGAGUAUAGUCCGGGAGACAGACGGCGGGUGCUAAGGUCCGUCGUCAAAAGGGAAACAGCCCUAACCUACAGCUAAGGUCCCCAAGUCAUCACUAAGUGGAAAGCAUGUGGGAAUCCCAAAACAACCAGGAGGUUGGCUUAGAAGCAGCCAUCCUUUAAAGAAAGCGUAACAGCUCACUGGUCUAAAUAAGGGUUCCUGCGGCGAAGAUGUAACGGGGCUAAAGUGAUGCACCGAAGCUUAGGGUUCAGUCUUUGACUGAGCGGUAGCGGAGCGUUCCGUAAGCCUGUGAAGCGGGAGGGUAACCGACCGUGGAGGUAUCGGAAGUGCGAAUGCUGACAUGAGUAGCGAUAAAGAGGGUGAGAUGCCCUCUCGCCGAAAGCCCAAGGGUUCCUGCGCAAGGCUAAUCCGCGCAGGGUGAGUCGGCCCCUAAGACGAGCCCGAAGGGGGUAGUCGAUGGGAAGCAGGUUAAUAUUCCUGCACCUGGUGGUGUGUGACGGAUCUCGUAAGUCGUUCUUCCUUAUCGGAUUGGUAAGGGCGGCGAAGAGGUUCCAGGAAAUAGCCCCACCGUAUAGACCGUACCCGAAACCGACACAGGUGGGCAGGUAGAGUAUACCAAGGCGCUUGAGAGAAGUCUCCUGAAGGAACUCGGCAAAUUGCCUCCGUACCUUCGGAAGAAGGAGGCCCCACAUUGAGGCAACUCUUUGUGGGGGGCGACAGGCCAGGGGUAGCGACUGUUUAACAAAACACAGGGCUCUGCUAAGUCGGCUUCAAGACGACGUAUAGGGUCUGACGCCUGCCCGGUGCCGGAAGGUUAAGAGGAGGAGUGCAAGCUCCGAAUUGAAGCCCCGGUAAACGGCGGCCGUAACUAUAACGGUCCUAAGGUAGCGAAAUUCCUUGUCGGGUAAGUUCCGACCUGCACGAAUGGCGUAACGACUUCCCCACUGUCUCCAGGAGAUGCUCAGCGAAAUUGAAUUCUCCGUGAAGAUGCGGAGUACCCGCGGUUAGACGGAAAGACCCCGUGCACCUUUACUGCAGCUUCAGAGUGGCUGUGGGAAACAACUGUGUAGGAU
rnacentral:rRNA from 1 species